CAACCAGCAGCAAUGGACAAGCAGCCAAGGGCUGCAGCCACGAAGCUUUUUGGGGGACCCGCUGAGACCUGCGAGGAGGCAAUCCAGUUUCACCUGUGAUCCCUAAGGCAGGCAUUGGCAGAGUUCCUGGAUUGGCAAGUGAGUGAAGAGAAGCGACGCCUGGACUACCUGGAGAGGAGCGAAGCUGAGCGGUGCCACGUCAGGGCCAAGUUUGAGUGGCUGCGCCAGUUCCUGGUGGAGAAGGAGCAGGCAGUGCUGG